AACGAACGCUGGCGGCAUGCCUAACACAUGCAAGUCGAACGAGACCUUCGGGUCUAGUGGCGCACGGGUGCGUAACGCGUGGGAACCUGCCCUUAGGUUCGGAAUAACUCCCCGAAAGGGGUGCUAAUACCGGAUAAUGUCUUCGGACCAAAGAUUUAUCUCCUUUGGAUGGGCCCGCGUUGGAUUAGCUUGUUGGUAGGGUAAAAGCCUACCAAGGCGACGAUCGAUAGCUGGUCUGAGAGGAUGAUCAGCCACACUGGGACUGAGACACGGCCCAGACUCCUACGGGAAGCAGCAGUGGGGAAUAUUGGACAAUGGGCGAAAGCCUGAUCCAGCAAUGCCGCGUGAGUGAUGAAGGCCUUAGGGUUGUAAAGCUCUUUUACCCGGGAUGAUAAUGACAGUACCGGGAGAAUAAGCUCCGGCUAACUCCGUG
rnacentral:rRNA from 1 species